AAUAACGCUGGCGGCGUGCCUAAGACAUGCAAGUCGAACGGGCGAGCCUGGUGGAUGCCAGGAACAACUCGCUAGUGGCAAACGGGUGAGUAACGCGUAGGUGAUCUGCCUCAAAGUUCGGAAUAAGCUCGCGAAAGCGGGUCUAAUACCGGAUGUGGUCAUGCGAUUUCGGUCGCAUGGUUAAAGCCUUCGGGCGCUUUGAGAGGAGCCUGCGUCCUAUCAGCUUGUUGGUGGGGGUAACGGCCCUACCAAGGCUAUGACGGGUAGCUGGUCCGAGAGGACAUACAGCCACAGUGCAACUGAGAUACGGUGCACACUCCUACGGGAGGCAGCAGUCGGGAAUUGUUCGCAAUGGACGAAAGUCUGACGACGCGACGCCGCGUGCGGGAUGAAGCCCUUCGGGGUGUAAACCGCUUUUCUGCAGGAAAAAGAUCUGAUGGUACUGCAGGAAUAAGAGGUUGCUAACUCUGUGCCAGCAGCAGCAGGUAAUACAGAGACCUCGAGCGUUUUCCGGAAUUCAUUGGGCGUAGAGCGUCCGCAAACGGUUACGCGUCGUCGGGACCUGAAAUCCUGUAGCUCAACUACAGGCGCGGGUUCGAUACGGCGUAGCUAGAGAGUUGGAGAGGCUUGAUGGAAUUCCCGGUGUAGCAGUGAAAUGCGUUAAUAUCGGGAAGAACACCCAAUUGCGAAGUGCAGUCAGCUGGGCCAAUUUCUGACGUCCAGGGACGAAAGCGUGGGGAGCAAACGGGAUUAGAUACCCCGGUAGUCCCACGCCGUAAAACGAUGGGUACUAGGUUUGGGGACAUCGACAGUUUCCGAAUCGUAAGCUAACGCGUUAAGUUACCUCGCCUGGGAAGUACGGCCGCAAGGCUAAAACUCAAAGGAAUUGACGGGAACCCGCACAAGCGGUGGAGCAUGUGGUUUAAUUCGAUACUGAGCGAAGAACCUUACCUAGGCUUGACAUCUAGCUGCAAGCCCCUGGAAACAGGGGAAUCCUUAGAGGGUGCCUAGACAGGUGUUGCAUGGUUGUCGUCAGCUCGUGGCGUGAGCUGUUGGGUUAAGUCCCGCAACGAGCGCAACCCCUGCCCUGUGUUGAAUACUCACAGGGGACUGGCCGGCGUACAGUCGGAGGAAGGUGGGGAUGACGUCAAAUCCGCAUGGCCCCUUUGAUGCCUAGGGCUACACGCAUGCUACAAUGGUCGGUACAGAGAGAUAUGCCAAGCCGAGAGGCGGAGCGAAUCUCAUCAAAGCCGGCCCCAGUUCGGAUUGAGGGCUGCAAACUCGCCCUCAUGAAGUCGGAAUCGCUAGUAACCGUGGGUCAGCCAUACCGCGGUGAAUACGUUCUCGGGUUUUGUACACAACCGCCCCGUCAAGUCAAGAAAGCCAGCAACACUCGAAAUCGCACGUAUGUGCGCCCAAGGUGGGGCUGGUGAUCGGGGCU
rnacentral:rRNA from 1 species